GACGAACCGUGCGAGCGUUGUUCGGAUUCACUGGGCUUAAAGGGCGCGUAGGCGGACUCGCAAGUCUGUGGUGAAAUCCCCCAGCUCAACUGGGGAAGUGCCGUGGAUACUGCAAGUCUGGAGGAGGGUAGGGGCAUCUGGAACGCUGGGUGGAGCGGUGAAAUGCGUUGAUAUCAGGAGGAACACCGGUGGCGAAGGCGGUUCUCUGGGCAUGUCCUGACGCUGAGAAGCGAAAGUGUGGGGAGCGAACAGG
rnacentral:rRNA from 1 species